rnacentral:rRNA from 1 species
UACAGAGGGUGCGAGCGUUAAUCGGAAUUACUGGGCGUAAAGCGUGCGUAGACGGCUAUCUAAGUCGGGUGUGAAAGCCCCGGGCUCAACCUGGGAAUUGCAUUCGAGACUGAAUAGCUAGGGUACGGUAGAGGGAAGCGGAAUUUCCGGUGUAGCGGUGAAAUGCGCAGAUAUCAGGAGGAACACCGAUGGCGAAGGCAGGUCUCUGGGCCGAUACUGACGCUGAGGAGCGAAAGCGUGGGGAGCGAACAGG